ensembl:lncRNA novel transcript
ACUGCGAGGCAGGCAGUGAUGCUGCGGCCGCUUCGCACUGUGGCUCCUGCCGACCGCCAGGCGCUGUUACAGUGGAUGCGAACUAACCGUAAGUAUGCAGCAGCAGCCGGAACCCACAGUUCACCUUGGUGCAUUCCUUUAUGAUGAAGACUUAUUGAUUCAUUAUAUGAGAAAGGAAAAAUGAGCAGAAACUACUGUAUGAUGUGCAGCUCACACCAGACAGCAACUUUAGAGUAAUUUAUCCCUACUUACAGAGAGAUUGCCCUACGUGUAACAGCUGCAUACAAAAAAGUUAUAAAAUUAUCAUUGGUUUAACAAGGAUAAGUGAAAAACAUUAAAAUUCUCCAACUGAACAAGGUGUGUCUGUUUCAUUGAUUGGCUGACUGUCAAAUCGGAAUCUGAUCUGCCCCAUUGACAAUGCCUUGGGCUUUUCCUCGGCCAUGGCAAAUGCCAGAGUCUUCUCAGCUGCCGCUUCACAAAAGAGGUACCAGCUUCUCACUGAACGAACACAGUGCAGCACCAGGAGUGACAGAAGAAGGAGGCGGCAGCGGUGGUUGAGGGACAGGGUGCGUGCACGUCCAAGUACAGUUCUUAAAAUGUUGAGGGCAUACAACAUAUGCUCAAUAAAUACCUGAUUUUUAAAAAA